rnacentral:tRNA from 1 species
UGCAUCGGCCGGGAGUCGAACCCGGGCCACCCGCGUGGCAGGCGAGCAUUCUACCACUUAACCACCGAUGC